rnacentral:rRNA from 1 species
CUACGGGUUGCACCAGUGAGGAAUAUUGCACAAUGGGGGGAACCCUGAUGCAGCAACGCCGCGUGGAGGAUGACGCAUUUCGGUGUGUAAACUCCUUUUAUAUGUCAAGAAAAUGACGGUAGCAUAUGAAUAAGCACCGGCUAACUCCGUGCCAGCAGCCGCGGUAGUACGGAGGGUGCAAGCGUUACUUGGAAUCACUGGGCGUAAAGGACGCGUAGGCGGGUUGGAAAGUCAGGUGUGAAAUCCUACAGCUUAACUGUAGAACUGCACUUGAAACUUCUAAUCUAGAGUAUGGGAGGGGGAGAUGGAAUUAGUGGUGUAGGGGUAAAAUCCGUAGAUAUCACUAGGAAUACCUAAAGCGAAGGCGAUCUCCUGGAACAUUACUGACGCUAAGGCGUGAAAGCGUGGGGAGCAAACAGGAUUAGAUACCCCCGUAGUC